AACAAGAAGUUCCGUUACCAUACAUUGAGACACCGUUUAAGCUACCGUUGCCAGAUACCGAGCCACAAUUCAAUAGCGUUCCCAUGAAAAAACAAUAGGUUUAUUAUUCAACAAUGUAUUCAGUCUUCAAUGUCAGCAAUUAUAACAAUAGUAGUCUGUAUAGGGAGGAAAUGGUGGAUAGAUUUAGUUUUUGCCGAGUUAGCUUUUCGAGUUCCCACAGGUUCAUUUUUUCUUUGAGUUCACUUUGCUUUGGGUAGUCAGUUAGUGUGGUGUUCAUUGUAACAGAAAGCGUUGAGUGAAAAAUAGUAAAGAGGCGCAACUGUAUAUAAAAUUGCGAUACGCUUAGACCUCUUUCUUUCUCUAAGGCGACACCUAUAUUUCUAUCUCACUUGCCGUAAUUUUCCGUGCUGCACUGACUACAAACAAGUUUACGGUUAGUGCUGCCAUCAUAUUUUAAUUUUGGACUUAAUACGAUUACGAAAGUAUGACGUCAUUCACGUCUUAUCCCGACCCGACCCCAAACAGCUGAUGAGAGUUUGUUUACCUUUUUGUAACAUGGCGUUAAUAAACUUGUCCGACCUUUUCGAGCAUUUUCUGAAGAAAUUACCGUGUUUGGUAGAAGCGAAUAUAGUUAGUGGAAAUGUGCUUGGGAUGGAAUGUAAUGAACAUGAACAAUAGAGAAUGAAGCAAGUAUGAAAAGAAAUGCAAGUGUAGGUUAAUUUAAACGAAGAAGAAUUGUACCAAGCGGCAUAAGUAACAGCAUAUCUGCGCUUUUUUGCUGUAUGCAAAUAACAAGGCAAAUAACAAUAUCAGUAAAAUCGAGAGAAAAACUGAUACAGUAUGCCAAUGGAAAGAGUCAAUCUCAAUCUCAUCUAUUGAAACAACAGUUUCUGUGUUGGAAUUGUUUCCGAAAGUACAAUGUGGUGCCACGAAUAGAGGAUGAGGUUGAAAGCACUAAACAGGUGUCCUGCUUCUUUCUAUUCCUCUUCGCCAAA